rnacentral:tRNA from 1 species
GGUGCUGUCUGUAAGUGAUUGAUUUAAGUGGCUUGGGGUGCAAGAGGUCCCGGGUUCAAAUCCCGGCGGCCCGACCA